AUGUCCAAGACUUCCCAAUCAUGCAGCAGACAAUGUCAUCAUCAAAAAACACAGUUUAACCCCUUCAGACUUCCCAAUCAGGGAACCCAUACCUCGAUCAAGAUUGGUGAAACUAGGAUUCACAAUCAACUUUAUUCCCUCAUUUUACCUACUGAUCAGAAUCUCACUUCCCAUAAUAAUGCCUACCUUCCCACAAGCAUAUAUUGA